rnacentral:rRNA from 1 species
GUGCCAGCAGCCGCGGUAAUACGGAGGGUGCGAGCGUUAAUCGGAAUUACUGGGCGUAAAGACGCAUGCAGGUGGUUUGGUUUAAGUUACAGAUGUGAAAGACCCGGGGCCGUCAACCUACCGGAAUAAGCAUUUGUAAACUAGGCAGACUAGAGUACUGUAGAGGGGGGUAGGAAUUUCUAGGUGUAGCGGUGAAAUAGCGUAGAGAUCUGAAGGAAUACCGGUGGCGAAGGCGGCCCCCUCGGACAGAUACUGACACUCAGAUGCGAAAGCGUGGGGAGCAAACAGGAUUAGAUACCCUGGUAG